UACGGAGGAUGCGAGCGUUAUCCGGAUUUAUUGGGUUUAAAGGGUGCGCAGGCGGAUUUUUAAGUCAGCAGUCAAAUCGUGGGGCUCAACCCCAUCCAGCCGUUGAAACUGGGGAUCUAGAGUGUGCGAGAGGUAUGCGGAAUGCGUGGUGUAGCGGUGAAAUGCAUAGAUAUCACGCAGAACCCCGAUUGCGAAGGCAGCAUACCGGUGCACAACUGACGCUCAGGCACGAAAGCGUGGGUAUCGAACAGG
rnacentral:rRNA from 1 species